rnacentral:snRNA from 1 species
CGACUUCCUCUCUCAUCAC